rnacentral:rRNA from 1 species
GGUUGUAAAGCUCUUUCGGCGGGGACGAAACGGUCCGUGUUAACACCACGGAUCAAUGACGGUACUCGCAGAAGAAGCACCGGCUAACUACGUGCCAGCAGCCGCGGUAAUACGUAGGGUGCAGGCGUUAAUCGGAAUUACUGGGCGUAAAGCGUGCGCAGGCGGCCUCUUAAGUCAGAUGUGAAAUCCCCGGGCUUAACCUGGGAACUGCGUUUGAAACUGGGAGGCUAGAGUGUGGAAGAGGGGGGUGGAAUUCCAGGUGUAGCAGUGAAAUGCGUAGAGAUCUGGAGGAACACCGAUGGCGAAGGCAGCCCCCUGGGCUGACACUGACGCUCAUGCACGAAAGCGUGGGGAGCAAACAGGAUUAGAUACCCUGGUAGUCCACGCCCUAAACGAUGUCAACUGGUUGUCGGGGAAGUUAUUCCUUGGUAACGAAGCUAACGCGUGAAGUUGACCGCCUGGGGAGUACGGCCGCAAGGUUAAAACUCAAAGGAAUUGACGGGGACCCGCACAAGCGGUGGAUUAUGUGGAUUAAUUCGAUGCAACGCGAAAAACCUUACCUACCCUUGACUUGUACGGAACCCCGCAGAGAUGCGGGGGUGCCCGAAAGGGAGCCGUAACACAGGUGCUGCGUGGCUGUCGUCAGCUCGUGUCGUGAGAUGUUGGGUUAAGUCCCGCAACGAGCGCAACCCUUGUC